CCUACGGGUGGCAGCAGUGGGGAAUAUUGCACAAUGGGGGAAACCCUGAUGCAGCGACGCCGCGUGAGUGAAGAAGUAUUUCGGUAUGUAAAGCUCUAUCAGUAGGGAAGUAAAUGACGGUACCUGACUAAGAAGCCCCGGCUAACUACGUGCCAGCAGCCGCGGGAAUACGUAGGGGGCAAGCGUUAUCCGGAUUUACUGGGUGUAAAGGGAGCGUAGACGGCCAGACAAGUCAGAAGUGAAAGCCUAGGGCUCAACCCUGGGACUGCAUUUGAAACUGCCGGGCUGGAGUGCAGGAGAGGUAAGCGGAAUUCGUGGUGUAGCGGUGAAAUGCGUAGAUAUUAGGAGGAACACCAGUGGCGAAGGCGGCUUACUGGACUGUAACUGACGUUGAGGCUCGAAAGCGUGGGGAGCAAACAGGAUUAGAUACCCUUGUAGUC
rnacentral:rRNA from 1 species